GAUGAACGCCGGCGGCGUGCCUAAGACAUGCAAGUCGAGCGGGCAUCUUCGGGUGUCAGCGGCGGACGGGUGAGUAACGCGUGGGAACGUGCCUUCUGGUUCGGAAUAACUCAGGGAAACUUGAGCUAAUACCGGAUACGCCAUUUUGGGGAAAGGUUUACUGCCAGAAGAUCGGCCCGCGUCUGAUUAGCUAGUUGGUGGGGUAACGGCCUACCAAGGCGACGAUCAGUAGCUGGUCUGAGAGGAUGAUCAGCCACACUGGGACUGAGACACGGCCCAGACUCCUACGGGAGGCAGCAGUGGGGAAUAUUGGACAAUGGGGGCAACCCUGAUCCAGCCAUGCCGCGUGAGUGAUGAAGGCCUUAGGGUUGUAAAGCUCUUUUACCCGGGAUGAUAAUGACAGUACCGGGAGAAUAAGCUCCGGCUAACUCCGUGCCAGCCGCCGCGGUAA
rnacentral:rRNA from 1 species